CGCGUGAGUGAUGAAGCCCUAGGGUCGUAAGCUCUUUCAACUGUGAAGAUUAUGACGGUAGCAGUAGAGGAACCCGGCUAACUCCGUGCCAGCAGCCGCGUAAUACGGAGGGGUUAGCGUUGUUCGGAAUUACUGGGCGUAAAGCGUACGUAGGCGGAUUAAUAAGUUAGAGGUGAAAUCCCAGGGCUCAACCCUGGAACUGCCUUUAAAACCGUUAGUCUUGAGAUCGAGAGAGGUGAGUGGAAUUCCAAGUGUAGAGGUGAUAUUCGUAGAUAUUUGGAGGAACACCAGUGGCGAACGCGGCUCACUGGCUCGAUACUGACGCUGAUGUACGAA
rnacentral:rRNA from 1 species